rnacentral:rRNA from 1 species
UACGUAGGGGGCAAGCGUUGUCCGGAUUUAUUGGGCGUAAAGAGCGUGUAGGCGGCUUUACAGGUCCGUUGUGAAAACUCGAGGCUCAACCUCGAGACGCCGGUGGAAACCGUAAAGCUAGAGUCCGGAAGAGGAGAGUGGAAUUCCUGGUGUAGCGGUGAAAUGCGCAGAUAUCAAGAGGAACACCUGAGGUGAAGACGGGUUGCUGGGCUGACACUGACGCUGAGGCGCGAAAGCCAGGGGAGCAAACGGG